rnacentral:rRNA from 1 species
GACGAACGCUGGCGGCGUGCCUAACACAUGCAAGUUGAGCGACGAACCAGGGCUUGCCCUGGGGCAAAGCAGCGAACGGGUGAGUAACACGUGGGUAACGUGCCCCGAUAACCGGGACAACCCGAGGAAACUCGGGCUAAUACCGGAUGUGCUCGCCGGACAUCAGUCCGGCGCGUAAAGGAAGCUUCGGCCUCCGUAUCGGGAGCGGCCCGCGGCCCAUUAGCUAGUUGGUGAGGUAACGGCUCACCAAGGCCGCGAUGGGUAGCUGGUCUGAGAGGACGAUCAGCCACACUGGGACUGAGACACGGCCCAGACUCCUACGGGUGGCAG